GCGGGUCUCAGGCUAAGCCAUGCACGUCUAAGUACAAACUAAAUGAUGGUGAAACUGCAAAUGGCUCAUUACAACGGUUAUGAUGUACCCGGGAGUUCCGAUGGAUAUUUCCAGUAACACUAGAACUAAUACAUGUCCCUGCGUUUAUUAGUUUCGCACAGUCCGUCGCUGAGUCAUGGUAAACAGUUGAUCGACUCGACGUCCCGGAACAGUUUCCGCCCCAUCAGCUUCGAUGGUUGGGUAUUGGCCUACCAUUGCAACAACGGGUAACGAGGAAUUAGGGUUUGAUUUCGGAGAGGGAGCCUGAGAAACGGCUACCACAUCUACGGAUGGCAGCAGGCGCGCAAAUUACCCAAUGCAGACACUGUGAGGUAGUGACGAGAAAUAAUAAAGCGGGACUUCUGUUUCGCUAUUAUAAUGAGGAAUAACCAAAGGUCAUUCCGAUUAGCAACUGAUGGGAAAGUCUGGUGCCAGCAGCCGCGGUAAUACCAGCGUCAGUA
rnacentral:rRNA from 1 species